rnacentral:rRNA from 1 species
AGUGAACGCUGGCGGUAGGCCUAACACAUGCAAGUCGAACGGCAGCACAGUAAGAGCUUGCUCUUACGGGUGGCGAGUGGCGGACGGGUGAGGAAUACAUCGGAAUCUACUUUUUCGUGGGGGUUAACGUAGGGAAACUUACGCUAAUACCGCAUACGCCCUACGGGUGAAAGCAGGGGAUCUUCGGACCUUGCGCGAUUGAAUGAGCGGAUGUCGGAUUAGCUAGUUGGCGGGGUAAAGGCCCACCAAGGCGACGAUCCGUAGCUGGUCUGAGAGGAUGAUCAGCCACACUGGAACUGAGACACGGUCCAGACUCCUACGGGAGGCAGCAGUGGGGAAUAUUGGACAAUGGGCGCAAGCCUGAUCCAGCCAUACCGCGUGGGUGAAGAAGGCCUUCGGGUUGUAAAGCCCUUUUGUUGGGAAAGAAAAGCAGCAGGUUAAUACCCCGCUGUUCUGACGGUACCCAAAGAAUAAGCACCGGCUAACUUCGUG